rnacentral:lncRNA from 1 species
CUUAAGGAUGUACUUAGGUGAGGUUAGGUAAAAAUUAAGAAAUUAAGAAAUUAAAAUUGAUACUAUAAGCUGGUAGAGCAUCAAUUAAGGAUAAAGAUAAGCUAAAAAUAUUGAUAGGUCAUGGACCUCCUUUUCGAGACAUUUGAGAUUUAAAAUAUGGCGGGAUUAGGCUGACUCGGACUUUUACCUUAUAUUUGCAUUGGUAUCAU